AGCGUAUGAUCGGGAAAAAGGUGUAAACGCAAGUGGAACAACAAAUGGUUGCAUGAACCUUUACCAGCCUCUGGAGACGCGUGGUUGUUGGCUUGGGUGGAAAACUACACCGGAUAUAAGCAAUGGAUAAGAAAGUUCCGCGGCUCUAUGAAAAAUGCAACGCUCGAGUUAUCGUCGAGGUAACAGCUUUCUGGAUAACUGGUACACUUUUGUACAAGUGUAAAUGUUCGUUGAAGCAGCCAUCGCGAGAAGAUUAGAAAAUUCCAAUGAGCGCAGUUGCGAAUGGCCUACUAAAUGGAAGGGAAAUUUCGAAACUAAACCUAUUUCAACUACGACCGGCCAAAUGCGAGUCUCCAUACGUGGCGGAGGUCACCGUAUAGAUUCAGGGACCUUGAU
rnacentral:misc_RNA from 1 species